AACGAACGCUGGCGGCAGGCUUAACACAUGCAAGUCGAACGGGUGUAGCAAUACAUCAGUGGCAGACGGGUGAGUAACACGUGGGAACCUUCCUAGGGGUACGGAACAACUCAGGGACACUUGAGCUAAUACCGUAUACGUCCGUGAGGAGAAAGAUUUAUCGCCCUUAGACGGGCCCGCGUCGGAUUAGCUAGUUGGUGGGGUAACGGCCUACCAAGGCGACGAUCCGUAGCUGAUCUUAGAGGAUGAUCAGCCACAUUGGGACUGAGACACGGCCCAGACUCCUACGGGAGGCAGCAGUGGGGAAUCUUGGACAAUGGGCGCAAGCCUGAUCCAGCCAUGCCGCGGGAGUGAAGAAGGUCUUCGGAUUGUAAAGCUCUUUUGUCAGGGUCGAUAAUGACGGUACCUGGAGAAUAAGCCCCGGCAAACUUCGUGCCAGCCGCCGCGGUAA
rnacentral:rRNA from 1 species